AUCGGACGUCUUCGGCGUUCGAA
rnacentral:snRNA from 1 species